rnacentral:rRNA from 1 species
UGCAGUCGAACGAUGAACCUCACUUGUGGGGGGAUUAGUGGCGAACGGGUGAGUAACACGUGAGUAACCUGCCCUUGACUCUGGGAUAAGCCUGGGAAACCGGGUCUAAUACUGGAUACGACCUUCUGGCGCAUGCCAUGUUGGUGGAAAGCUUUUGUGGUUUUGGAUGGACUCGCGGCCUAUCAGCUUGUUGGUGGGGUAAUGGCCUACCAAGGCGACGACGGGUAGCCGGCCUGAGAGGGUGACCGGCCACACUGGGACUGAGACACGGCCCAGACUCCUACGGGAGGCAGCAGUGGGGAAUAUUGCACAAUGGGCGCAAGCCUGAUGCAGCGACGCCGCGUGAGGGAUGAAGGCCUUCGGGUUGUAAACCUCUUUCAGUAGGGAAGAAGCCUGUCUUUUGGGUGGGUGACGGUACCUGCAGAAGAAGCGCCGGCUAACUACGUGCCAGCAGCCGCGGUAAUACGUAGGGCGCAAGCGUUAUCCGGAAUUAUUGGGCGUAAAGAGCUCGUAGGCGGUUUGUCGCGUCUGCCGUGAAAGUCCGGGGCUUAACUCCGGAUCUGCGGUGGGUACGGGCAGACUAGAGUGCAGUAGGGGAGACUGGAAUUCCUGGUGUAGCGGUGAAAUGCGCAGAUAUCAGGAGGAACACCGAUGGCGAAGGCAGGUCUCUGGGCUGUAACUGACGCUGAGGAGCGAAAGCAUGGGGAGCGAACAGGAUUAGAUACCCUGGUAGUCCAUGCCGUAAACGUUGGGCACUAGGUGUGGGGGACAUUCCACGUUUUCCGCGCCGUAGCUAACGCAUUAAGUGCCCCGCCUGGGGGAGUACGGCCGCAAGGCUAAAACUCAAAGGAAUUGACGGGGGCCCGCACAAGCGGCGGAGCAUGCGGAUUAAUUCGAUGCAACGCGAAGAACCUUACCAAGGCUUGACAUGAACCGGAAUGAUGCCAAAGAUGUGUCAGCCACUUGUGGCCGGUUUACAGGUGGGGGCAUGGUUGUCGUCAGCUC